rnacentral:rRNA from 1 species
UACAGAGGGGGCAAGCGUUGUUCGGAAUUACUGGGCGUAAAGGGCGCGUAGGCGGCCUUCUAAGUCGAACGUGAAAUCCCCGGGCUCAACCCGGGAACUGCGUCCGAUACUGGAUGGCUCGAAUCCGGGAGAGGGAUGUGGAAUUCCAGGUGUAGCGGUGAAAUGCGUAGAUAUCUGGAGGAAUACCGGUGGCGAAGGCGGCAUCCUGGACCGGCAUUGACGCUGAGGAGCGAAAGCUAGGGGAGCGAACAGG